rnacentral:misc_RNA from 1 species
CAGUCGUAACAAGGUUUCCGUAGGUGAACCUGCGGAAGGAUCAUUAAACACAGUAGAUUUCUACUGCUCGGGGGGUUCAACGAAGUCAGCCCCAUGGGGGCUGAACUAAGUAUAACCCCGUCUUCACCCUUGUCUUUUGCGCACUCAUGUUUCCUCGGCGGGCUCAGCUCGCCGACAGGACAACUAUUAAACCUUUUUAAUUUUCAAUCAGCGUAUGAAUAAUUAUAAUAAUUACAA